AUUGAACGCUGGCGGCAGGCCUAACACAUGCAAGUCGAACGAGUGGCGGACGGGUGAGUAAUGUCUGUGAAACUGCCCGAUGGAGGGGGAUAACUACUGGAAACGGUAGCUAAUACCGCAUAACGUCGGGUGUGCACAGAUGGGAUUCGCUAGUGGGUGGGGUAACGUCUCACCUAGGCGACGAGCCCUAGCUGGUCUGAGAGGAGGACCAGCCACACGGGAACUGAGACACGGUCCAGACUUCUACGGGAGGCAGCAGUGGGGCAUAUUGCACAAGGGGCGGAAGCCUGAUGCGGCCAUGCCGCGUGGAUGAAGAAGGCCUUCGGGUUGUAAAGUACUUUCAGCGUGGAGGCGGUACUCGCAGAAGAAGCACCGGCUAACUCCGUGCCAGCAGCCGCGGUAAUAC
rnacentral:rRNA from 1 species